AGAACAUUGAGAGAGAGAGGUCUUGAGCUCACAUAGAAUUCCGUACACCGAGAUUUCUCAGAAAGUGUUUCUUUAGCUCUCUCCCUUACCUGUGUCCUUAGUAAAUUCCCACACUUCUCCUGACCAUUGGAGUAGAUCUCAGUCCACACAUUCUGUCCUGAGGGACAGACCAACUAUUCACUUGACACAUGAAGCGGUGACUGGGAUGUACCUAUUUUCAAGGAGGCAUUUGAUGGUAACUUCCAGAAACUACAUCCAAAGUUGAUAUCAUGCGGUGACUUUUCUCAGAGUCCAUGAUUUCCAAGAGAUGUUGAUGACUCCUCCAGUUCUUCUAAAAUCCACAAAGGCCGCCCUGUGAGACCCAGCACAACGUUUUCUAAAGAAGACUCGAAUACUGACCACUUACCUUGGGCAAGAAGACUUGACCUUUGCGAGGUUGUUCUGUGCUGAAGAGCCUGCUGAGGGGAGAAGCGUGAGAGGGAGACAGCCUCUCAGACCGGAUGGAGACAGUAGGAACGUGGGAGAAUACAUACAGACAUAGUGAUUAAGAAAUCUAUUUAAGCUGUUAUGUCAGUAUUUACAAUUGAAAUUUGAUAGUUCAAUUUUCUGUUGUUGUCAAAGUACAUAUACUGUAAGUUAAAGGGAGCUGAAUGAAAAUUCAUGAAUAAACAUUUUGAG